rnacentral:rRNA from 1 species
UGGCAGACGGGUGAGUAACGCGUGGGAAGCUACCUUGUGGUAGGGGACAACAGUUGGAAACGACUGCUAAUACCCUAUGAGCCCUAUGGGGGAAAGAUUUAUCGCCAUGAGAUGUGCCCGCGUUAGAUUAGCUAGUUGGUAAGGUAAUGGCUUACCAAGGCGACGAUCUAUAGCUGGUCUGAGAGGAUGAUCAGCCACACUGGGACUGAGACACGGCCCAGACUCCUACGGGAGGCAGCAGUGGGGAAUAUUGGACAAUGGGGGCAACCCUGAUCCAGCCAUGCCGCGUGUGUGAUGACGGCCUUAGGGUUGUAAAGCACUUUCAGCAGUGAAGAUAAUGACAUUAACUGCAGAAGAAGCCCCGGCUAACUUCGUGCCAGCAGCCGCGGUAAUACGAAGGGGGCUAGCGUUGUUCGGAAUCACUGGGCGUAAAGAGUACGUAGGCGGACUGAUAAGUUAGGGGUGAAAUCCCAAGGCUCAACCUUGGAACUGCCUUUGAUACUGUCAGUCUUGAGAUCGAGAGAGGUGAGUGGAACUCCGAGUGUAGAGGUGAAAUUCGUAGAUAUUCGGAAGAACACCAGUGGCGAAGGCGGCUCACUGGCUCGAUACUGACGCUGAGGUACG